rnacentral:rRNA from 1 species
GACGAACCGUGCGAACGUUGUUCGGAAUCAUUGGGCUUAAAGGGCGCGUAGGCGGGCUGACAAGUCAGGGGUGAAAGCCCACGGCUCAACCGUGGAAGUGCCUUUGAUACUGCCAGUCUGGAGGGAGGUAGGGGCGUGCGGAACUUCCGGUGGAGCGGUGAAAUGCGUAGAUAUCGGAAGGAACACCGGUGGCGAAAGCGGCGCGCUGGACCUCUUCUGACGCUGAGGCGCGAAAGCCAGGGGAGCGAACGGG